rnacentral:rRNA from 1 species
CCUACGGGUGGCAGCAGUGGGGAAUAUUGCACAAUGGGGGAAACCCUGAUGCAGCGACGCCGCGUGAGUGAAGAAGUAUUUCGGUAUGUAAAGCUCUGUCAGCAGGGAAGAAAAUGACGGUACCUGACCAAGAAGCCCCGGCUAACUACGUGCCAGCAGCCGCGGUAAUACGUAGGGGGCACGCGUUAUCCGGAUUUACUGGGUGGAAAGGGAGCGUAGACGGCAGGGCAAGGCUGGAGUGAAAGGCGGGGGCUCAACCCCCGGACUGCUCUGGAAACUGCCAGGCUGGAGUGCAGGAGAGGUAAGUGGAAUUCCUAGUGUAGCGGUGAAAUGCGUAGAUAUUAGGAGGAACACCAGUGGCGAAGGCGGCUUACUGGACUGUAACUGACGCUGAUGCACGAAAGCGUGGGUAUCAAACAGGAUUAGAUACCCCAGUAGUC